GGUCCCGUCGGUUAGAGGCCUAAGCCGCCGCGUUGUCAGCGCGGAGAUCAGGGGUUCGAAUCCCCUCGGGACCGCCA
rnacentral:tRNA from 1 species